GGAUAAGAGACACCUGCAGCGUGGCAGCCUCAGCACAGCUCUGGGGCGUCUGCACCAUGGCCUGGGCCCCCCUCCUCCUCCUCACCCUCCUCCUCCACUGCACAGGGUCCCUCUCCCAGCCUGUGCUGACUCAGCCGCCCUCUGCAUCUGCCUCCCUGGGAGCCUCGGCCAAGCUCACCUGCACCCUGAGCAGUGGACACAGCGGCUACACCAUUGCGUGGCUUCAGCAGCAGCCGGGGAAGGCCCCUCGGUACUUGAUGUAUGUUAACAGUGCUGGAAGCCACAGCAAGGGGGACGGGAUCCCCGAUCGCUUCUCAGGCUCCAGCUCCGGGGCUGACCGCUACUUAACCAUCUCCAACAUCCAGUCUGAGGACGAGGCUGACUAUUACUGUCAGACCUGGGGCAGUAGUGCUAAUGAUCACAGUGACACAGGCAGAUGAGGAAGUGGGACAAAAACCUCAGCCUGCUCAGGGUUUUCUUCUGUGACGAUUUUCAAAUUUUAAAAUAUGUUAAACGUAUACAAACUUGAAAGCACUUGGUGGUUUCAAAUAUUUCUACUCUUAAUUUUCCUUCAAUGUUUCUGAAGUCUCAGGAAAACUAAAAGCGAAACUAAAAAUUAGAAAUCCUGAUGACACUGAAA